UACGUAGGGUGCGAGCGUUAAUCGGAAUUACUGGGCGUAAAGCGUGCGCAGGCGGUUUUGUAAGCCCGAUGUGAAAUCCCCGGGCUUAACCUGGGAAUGGCAGUUGGGACUGCAAGGCUGGAGUGUGGCAGAGGAGACUGGAAUUCCUGGUGUAGCAGUGGAAUGCGUAGAGAUCAGGAGGAAGACCGAUGGCGAAGGCAGGUCUCUGGGCUAACACUGACGCUCAGGCGCGAAAGCGUGGGGAGCAAACAGG
rnacentral:rRNA from 1 species